rnacentral:rRNA from 1 species
CUACGGGAGGCAGCAGUGGGGAAUCUUGGACAAUGGGGGCAACCCUGAUCCAGCCAUGCCGCGUGAGCGAUGAAGGCCUUAGGGUUGUAAAGCUCUUUCAGCGGGGAAGAUAAUGACGGUACCAGCAGAAGAAGCCCCGGCUAACUCCGUGCCAGCAGCCGCGGUAAUACGGAGGGGGCUAGCGUUGUUCGGAAUUACUGGGCGUAAAGCGCACGUAGGCGGACUGGAAAGUUGGGGGUGAAAUCCCAGGGCUCAACCUCGGAACUGCCUUCGAUACUGGCGAUCUUGAGUCCGGGAGAGGUGAGUGGAAUUGCGAGUGUAGAGGUGAAAUUCGUAGAUAUUCGCAAGAACACCAGUGGCGAAGGCGGCUCACUGGCCCGGUACUGACGCUGAGAUGCGAAAGCGUGGGGAGCAAACAGGAUUAGAUACCCUUGUAGUCC